rnacentral:rRNA from 1 species
UACGUAGGGGGCAAGCGUUGUCCGGAAUCAUUGGGCGUAAAGAGCGUGUAGGCGGCCCGGUAAGUCCGCUGUGAAAGUCGGGGGCUCAACCCUCGAAUGCCGGUGGAUACUGUCGGGCUAGAGUGCGGAAGAGGCGAGUGGAAUUCCACGUGUAGCGGUGAAAUGCGUAGAGAUGUGGAGGAACACCAGUGGCGAAGGCGGCUUUCUGGUCUGUAACUGACGCUGAGGCGCGAAAGCGUGGGGAGCAAACAGG